CAUGUAAACAGGAAAUAAAACCACAAAAUUAAAGGGGUACUAAAAAGGCACCAUAACCACUUAUUAUACAGAGCUAACAAAUUCCUAAAUGCUUUACAAUGGGUGGACUAACAAACAUGUAAUUGUAACCAGACAAGUUGGACACUUUGAAAAGGCAGUGUUUACAUUAAAAAAAAUCCUACAGGGACAGGCUAUAGACACCAGAGCAACUACAUUAAGCUGUAGUUGUGCUGGUAACUGCAGUGC